CCCCGGACUCCUCCCUGCCCUCUCCGGCUUCCCUGCCUCACAGGCUCCUCGCGUUCCCAGAGGGCUCCUUCCUGGGCCUGCCUGUGCCCCCCUUCUCCCGGCUCUCCUGUCCCCGGCCAGCUGCCGCAGAAAAUUUUCUGGAACUUGAGAAUCAUGGUAACACAGAAGUGGAGUGGCAUCCGUCAGUCAUCUCUAGCUCCACCUUAUGUCAAGUUUUUGGUGUUGGAAGGCAACGUUAGGUGGAAUUUGCAGAGUCCAUGGUAUUACAGUGCCCAGUGGUUCCAGGUCUCCAUCACAUUUUUGCCCAGAGAUAGAGGAGAUUGUGCUCAGUUUUGGGGUAUUGAGUGUCACCCCCUUAAGGAGCCUCACAGGAAACAUAUCUCUGAGAUUUCAACUGUCUGGGCAAUGUCAAAGCAGAAAAUGAGCCUGAAAGUUCAAAAAUUUCCACAAACCUCCUCAUUAAACUGGACAAUUUAGUUAAGCCCCGAAGACAAGGUGUAUCAGACACUGCUCUCAUACCCAGGUAUGUUGUCUUUGCCAUUCUUUUGACAUUUUCUCCAGUGCUUUGAGAUACAGUUAUGUUCAGUAAAGUGCUCCCUGAGCUCACCUAUGAGCUUUCAUGCAUCGCUACAACUCUAAUCAAGAUAGAGAAUAUCUCUCUCACCUGGAAAGCUCUUACACAUCCCUUUGCAUUCAGCCCGGCCCUCAACCCGAUAUCCGCUCUGAUCUAUCGCCAUAGGUUGGUUUUGUUGAGUUUCAAACACAUACACACUCCUUGAGCCUGGCUUCUUUCACCACACAUAAUGGUUUUGGGAUUCAUUUGUUUUGUAGAGUAUAUAGGUAGUGUGUCCCUUUUCAUUGUCGAGUAUGGCUUCAUGUGAACGUAUCAUGGUUUAUUCAUUUUCCUGGUGACAUUUGGGUGGCUCCUCAUUUGGAGCCAUUAUAAGUGAAGGUGCUAUGAGCGUUGUUGUAUGUGUAUUUUUGUGGAUGUACCUUUUAAUUUCCUUUGGGUAGGGGAUCCCUGGGUGGCGCAGCGGUUUGGCACCUGCCUUUGGCCCAGGGCGAGAUCCUGGAGACCCGGGAUCGAGUCCCACGUCGGGCUCCCGGUGCAUGGAGGCUGCUUCUCCCUCUGCCUGUGUCUCUGCCUCUCUCUCUCUGUGUGACUAUCAUAAAUAAAUAAAAAUUAAAAAAAAUAAUUUCCUUUGGG
rnacentral:lncRNA from 1 species